GACGAACGCUGGCGGCGUGCUUAACACAUGCCAGUCGAACGGAAAGGCCCUGCUUUUGUGGGGUGCUCGAGUGGCGAACGGGUGAGUAACACGUGAGUAACCUGCCCUUGACUUUGGGAUAACUUCAGGAAACUGGGGCUAAUACCGGAUAGGAGCUCCUGCUGCAUGGUGGGGGUUGGAAAGUUUCGGCGGUUGGGGAUGGACUCGCGGCUUAUCAGCUUGUUGGUGGGGUAGUGGCUUACCAAGGCUUUGACGGGUAGCCGGCCUGAGAGGGUGACCGGCCACAUUGGGACUGAGAUACGGCCCAGACUCCUGCGGGAGGCAGCAGUGGGGAAUAUUGCACAAUGGGCGGAAGCCUGAUGCAGCAACGCCGCGUGCGGGAUGACGGCCUUCGGGUUGUAAACCGCUUUCGCCUGUGACGAAGCGUGAGUGACGGUAAUGGGUAAAGAAGCACCGGCUAACUACGUG
rnacentral:rRNA from 1 species